rnacentral:rRNA from 1 species
GAUGAACGCUGGCGGCGUGCCUAAUACAUGCAAGUCGAGCGAAUGGAUUAAGAGCUUGCUCUUAUGAAGUUAGCGGCGGACGGGUGAGUAACACGUGGGUAACCUGCCCAUAAGACUGGGAUAACUCCGGGAAACCGGGGCUAAUACCGGAUAACAUUUUGAACCGCAUGGUUCGAAAUUGAAAGUCGGCUUCGGCUGUCACUUAUGGAUGGACCCGGGUCGCAUUAGCUAGUUGGUGAGGUAACGGCUAACCAAGGCAACGAUGCGUAGCCGACCUGAGAGGGUGAUCGGCCACACUGGGACUGAGACACGGCCCAGACUCCUACGGGAGGCAGCAGUAGGGAAUCUUCCGCAAUGGACGAAAGUCUGACGGAGCAACGCCGCGUGAGCGAUGAAGGCUUUCGGGUCGUAAAACUCUGUUGUUAGGGAAGAACAAGUGCUAGUUGAAUAAGCUGGCACCUUGACGGUACCUAACCAGAAAGCCACGGCUAACUACGUGCCAGCAGCCGCCGUAA